UAAGUCCAUGAUGGUGAUGAUAAUGGUUUGAUGACAAUGGGGGUGGUGAUGAUGGCUGUAACUACCAAUUCUGAACACCUCCUAUAUGCCAAGCACUGCUGGAAGCACUCCACAUUUCACCUGCACGGCCACCCUCUGAGCAACUUCAACAAAAUAAUAUUCAGCCUACGCCCGCGCCCCAGAAGCUAGCCCCGAGCCCCGCCCCCGGCAGGCACUUCGAGCACAGGGAAGCAUCUUUGCAGGCGCCCCGCACGCCCUUGUCAUCUGCGUAGCAGGUCGAGGUGGAAGAGCAAGAGGCGAAGGAGAACUCUCUCUGCCUGGGGACCACGGGAGUGGAGUUCCCGGGAGCUGUGUCCGCCAGCGACACGGAAGCGGGGUCGACAAGAGGUGGGGGACGGCCCGAGUCACAGUGAACAGAGAAUCAUCACCCAAGAAGAUAUACAUAUGGACAGAAUAGCAAUCAAAGCCAAGACAUUACCUAAAAGAGAUUCAAAGCUCAUGAGCUCACUGCUCAACCACUUCUGAGACACUGGUUUAGGAGUUAUCCCACUGGCUUCUCUGAGGAUAACAGAAUGUCACCCCCACGUCUCCUUUGAAAAUGCCUGGAUCCCUGAUCUAGAGAACUGGCUUAGAGCCCAGGCAGAAUGGAUUCACAAGAGGAAUUGGCUCCCAGCCAGGCAGCUGUUCAUCAAGGUCCACUUUACAGAAUGAUACUCACUGGAUGCUUGUGGGAAGCUAUGCAUGUAUGCAUUGCGGGGAGACAUUUAAAGCUGAUAAGUGAUUCUUUGGGCUAGACUGUAGAAAAAUUAGCGGAAAACUGUUACAAAACAACACCAUCAUUUUAAUACUAGCCCAAUUUCCUAUCUAUUCACCUAAUAAACCACUGCGCGCUCCCCAUCUCAUAAGUCUGUCUGGAUAUUUUUCAAUAAAUUGAAUGUUGUAAGAGAGUUGCCCUCAUUCAAAGAUUAGAAAGAAACCAAAAAUCUCUAACUAGCAAACCAAACAUUCAUUCCAUGUUAAUUGAGCAAAUAUUUGCACAUAGGCACAGAGCCACUGUCUGAGGCACAGGGAAUGCAGCAUGAAUUAGACUGAGGCAUCCCAGCAUUUCCUUCCAAAAAGGUCACAAUGUCCUAGGUAAAGAGAAGGUGAAUACUGCUCAUGGGGAAGUUAUUUUGUGUAACAGAAUCCCUUCAAGCAAAUUCCAGUCUACAAACUCAAAUAAAUUACUGAAAGCAAGGGAAACAACGCACAUUUAUAGAGACCUAACAAUAGAUGGUAGCUAGAAGGUCAGCUAAUAGUACCCACAAUGAGAAAACAAAAUGGACACCAUGAUAGGAAGACUGAGCAGCGUAGAUGCCAGAAAUUGGCCUUCCCCAGGGAAGGAAAAGCCUCAGUGGGGCCGUCACAGGUCUUCCCAGAAGAGCGAGGAGCCUUCAACAGAAAGAGCCCUGGAGUGCAUUGCUGCAUUCCCCAGAACUGGGGGAGGAGCACUGAUUGAGCACUGGUGUUCACUUGUGAAAAUUA